UACGGAGGAUCCGAGCGUUAUCCGGAUUUAUUGGGUUUAAAGGGUGCGCAGGCGGAAGAUUAAGUCGGUGGUGAAAUUUUGCAGCUCAACUGUAAAAGUGCCAUUGAUACUGGUUUUCUUGAGUGUGGAUGAAGUAGGCGGAAUUUGUGGCGUAGCGGUGAAAUGCAUAGAUAUCACGAGGAACUCCGAUUGCGCAGGCAGCUUACUAAACCAUAACUGACGCUCAGGCACGAAGGCGUGGGGAUCAAACAGGAUUAGAUACCCCU
rnacentral:rRNA from 1 species